rnacentral:rRNA from 1 species
AGCGAACGCUGGCGGCAGGCUUAACACAUGCAAGUCGAGCGGGCACUUUCGGGUGUCAGCGGCGGACGGGUGGGAACCGGGGGGAAAGUGCCCUCCGGUUUGGGAAUAACCCGGGGAAACUUGGGCAAAAACCGAAAAGGCCCUUUGGGGAAAGGCUUGCUGCCGGAGGAUCGGCCCGGGUCUGAUUAGCCAGUUGGUGGGGUAAAGGCUCACCAAGGCGACGAUCAGUAGCUGGUCUGAGAGGAUGAUCAGCCACACUGGGACUGAGACACGGCCCAGACUCCUACGGGAGGCAGCAGUGGGGAAUAUUGGACAAUGGGCGCAAGCCUGAUCCAGCCAUGCCGCGUGAGUGAUCAAGGCCUUAGGGUUGUAAAGCUCUUUUAUCCGGGACGAUAAUGACGGUACCGGAGGAAUAAGCCCCGGCUAACUUCGUG